GACGAACGCUGGCGGUGUGCUUAACACAUGCAAGUCGAACGGAAAGGCCCUGCUUUCGUGGGGUGCUCGAGUGGCGAACGGGUGAGUAACACGUGAGUAACCUGCUCUUGACUUUGGGAUAACUUCAGGAAACUGAGGCUAAUACCGGAUAGGAGCUCCUGCUGCAUGGUGGGGGUUGGAAAGUUUCGGCGGUUGGGGAUGGACUCGCGGCUUAUCAGCUUGUUGGUGGGGUAGUGGCUUACCAAGGCUUUGACGGGUAGCCGGCCUGAGAGGGUGACCGGCGACAUGGGGACUGAGAUACGGACCAGACUCCUACGGGGGGCAGCAGUGGGAAAUAUGGCACAAUGGGCGGGAGCCGGAUGCAGCAGCGCCGCGUGCGGGAUGACGGCCUUCGGGUUGUAAACCGCUUUCGCCUGUGACGAAGCGGGAGUGACGGUAAUGGGUGAAGAAGCACCGGCUAACUACGUG
rnacentral:rRNA from 1 species